GAUGAACGCUGGCGGCGUGCCUAAUACAUGCAAGUCGAGCGAACGGACGAGAAGCUUGCUUCUCUGAUGUUAGCGGCGGACGGGUGAGUAACACGUGGAUAACCUACCUAUCAGACUGGGAUAACUUCGGGAAACCGUAGCUAAUACCGGAUAAUAUUUUGAACCGCAUUGUUCAAAAGUUAAAUACGGUCUUGCUGUCACUUAUAGAUGGAUCCGCGCUGCAUUAGCUAGUUGGUAAGGUAACGGCUUACCAAGGCAACGAUGCAUAGCCGACCUGAGAGGGAGAACGGCCACACGGGAAGUGAGACACGGUCCAGACUCCUACGGGAGGAAGCAGUAGGGAAUCUUACGCAAUGGGCGAGAGCCUGACGGAGCAACGCCGCGUGAGUGAUGAAGGUGUUCGGAUCGGAAAACUCUGUUAUUAGGGAAGAACAUAUGUGUAAGUAACUGUGCACAUCUUGACGGUACCUAAUCAGAAAGCCACGGCUAACUACGUG
rnacentral:rRNA from 1 species